UGUAAGCGUAUACCAAAGUUGUUGCAGUUAAAACGCUCGUAGUCGGAAUUUGGCAGUUCCGGAAGUGUGCACGUCGUGUGCGCACUUUGCGGGGACUGCUUUUGUGGUCUUGCGUAGGAUGAGGCACUUUCAUUAGUGAACGUCCUCACGCAACCACUCUUUACUGUGAGAAAAUCAGAGUGCUCAAAGCAGGCAUUUGCCGUGAAUGUAUUAGCAUGGAAUAAUAGAAUAGGACUCGGUUCUAUCUUGUUGGUUUGUUGGGACUGAGUAAUGAUUAAGAGGGACAGUUGGGGGCAUUUGUAUUCCGGCGCUAGAGGUGAAAUUCUUAGAUUGCCGGAAGACAAACUGCUGCGAAAGCGUCUGCCAAGGAUGUUUUCAUUGA
rnacentral:rRNA from 1 species